CAGUAGCCGCGGGAAUGCGAAGGGGGCUAGCGUUGUUCGGAUUUACUGGGCGUAAAGCGCACGUAGGCGGACUUUUAAGUCAGGGGUGAAAUCCCGGGGCUCAACCCCGGAACUGCCUUUGAUACUGGGAGUCUUGAGUUCGAGAGAGGUGAGUGGAAUUGCGAGUGUAGAGGUGAAAUUCGUAGAUAUUCGCAGGAACACCAGUGGCGAAGGCGGCUCACUGGCUCGAUACUGACGCUGAGGUGCGAAAGCGUGGGGAGCAAACAGGAUUAGAUACCCCUGUAGUCCCUGUCUCUUAUAA
rnacentral:rRNA from 1 species